rnacentral:lncRNA from 1 species
GAGUUGCUUGUUGCGCUGUUUCAGAUCUAAUUAAGUUUUGGUCUUUUGGGAGAUUCUCUUUGUACUCCGCCUUUUCGACAUUAAUAAAUUAUUUGCUCCGCCUUCGCCCGUGGACGUAGACCGUUGGCCGAACCACGUAAAUAUCGGUGUGCUCUUUCUCUUUAUCUUUUUUUUUCUUGCAUUAAAUUAUUUUCUGGAUCUAUUUUUCGCCAUUCCGAUUUUAACAUAUAUAGACAGCAAGAAGGGACCACAGAGAAUGAAUCCAUACCAUUUUCGUGAUCAAAGGGGAUGAAUAAGCCGAAACGAAGCGUCGCUAACGGGAACGGUGCGACCGGAAGAAGCGCCGACCAUGAACCCAGCCCAACAUUCUGUCUAGAGAGGGAACAGGAGUCGAAGCGGCAUAUAAGGAGCGAACGAAACGAAGCGUCGCGACGGGAAGAAGGCCCGACCAUGAACUCGCCCAACAUUCCGUCCAGAGAGGGAACGGGAGGGAACAGGAGUCGGAGCGGCACCUAGAGGGGCGAGCGAAGGAGGUGAAGUUGGAAGAAGAAGUUAAUUAGAAGCAGGGAAGGAGGCGGAGUUGGAAUAGGGAAAAUUAAAUGGAAGCAGAUUAUGAAAAAAAAUUUGGUUGGGUAGGACCCACCCACUAAUUAAU